CCUACGGGAGGCUGCAGUGGGGAAUUUUGGACAAUGGGCGCAAGCCUGAUCCAGCAAUGCCGCGUGAGUGAAGAAGGCCUUCGGGUUGUAAAGCUCUUUCAGUUGAAAAGAAAAAAUCGUGACUAAUAAUCAUGGUUCAUGACGGUAUCAACAGAAGAAGCACCGGCUAACUACGUGCCAGCAGCCGCGGUAAUACGUAGGGUGCAAGCGUUAAUCGGAAUUACUGGGCGUAAAGGGUGCGCAGGCGGUUCUGUAAGUCAGAUGUGAAAUCCCCGGGCUUAACCUGGGAACUGCGUUUGAAACUGCAGAGCUAGAGUGCGGCAGAGGGAGGUGGAAUUCCAUGUGUAGCAGUGAAAUGCGUAGAGAUAUGGAAGAACAUCGAUGGCGAAGGCAACCUCCUGGGCUAGCACUGACGCUCAUGCACGAAAGCGUGGGGAGCAAACAGGCUUAGAUACCCUGGUAGUC
rnacentral:rRNA from 1 species